AUAUAUAGAAGCAUUUCCUUUAGAGAACAUUAUUAAAUCAAGUACCUUAAUAAUAACAGCAAAAUGAUGAAAGCACUGCUUUUUGUUUGCUUCGUUGUUUUAUUCUACACCGCUCUUGCGUUACCAGCUGAUCCAGUAGACCCCAAAGCCGCCGCCGGCGCCGUAACCCCUCCCGCUGCUAUACCUAAGGACGGUCCUGGUUUUGGAUUCUUCAGCCGGAUAUCGAAAUCUGUAGGAUCGCUUUUUUAAGUGAUGGAAAACAUACAACUACCACUAUUAAUCCGGAAACGCAACAUGCUUAAUUAGAAAUAAAUAUCUUGAAUUUGA